UUUUCGCGCCGUCUUGUUGGCCUGACUACUGCGCAGCAGGCGCGGAGCAUCGUAAGACUGUUGCCGGAUGGAUGAAAAUUCUUGCGCUGGGAAUUCACAAACGCCUAUUAAGGAUUUAUCAGACCACAGCUCCAGCAUGCACAACUCCACCUCGUCUGUGAUUGGGUAUGCGGAAUGUGCUGUGUUCAGUAUUUCAACCGGUCUCUCAACAGGACCCCCGGGUGCUGAAGCCAUGGAUGUCAGGCGAUGUCACGCGAAGAACUGCGAGCGAAGUAUGGCUUCAACCGCGAAACGUGUAGGAUGUCAACUGGCGUCGGACUUGAGGACGGAGCAAACUGUAACGGCGAGAUCUCGUAAUUGACAUCAUUAACUUGACGUAGGACUUCAUAAGGCCCUGUGUAGCGAGAGAGAAGCUUCUGGGAGAGACCGACACCACGACAUGGUGACCAGAGGAGCACCCAAGCACCUGGGGCGAACUUGACAUUGCGAUGGCGGCGAUCGUACCGCUCAUUAAGAGUGCUUGUAAUAGCGCUAGUUGACAUAAAAGCAUUUUAAGCAUUGUUGUAUUAUAUAGUACGCGGG